rnacentral:SRP_RNA from 2 species
GCUGGUGUGGUGGUGCACGCCUGUAGUCCCAGCUACUUGGGAGGUUGAGAUAGGAGGAUCCCUUGAGCCCAGGAGUCCUGGGCCAGCCUGGGCAACACAGUGGGACCCUGUCUCUU